rnacentral:lncRNA from 10 species
CAGGAAAUAUUUAUUUUAUCACAAUGUUAAUUAAUAUUUAGUGGUUUCAAAUAAUACAGUAAGCUGAUAAUAUAGCUUUAUAUUCCUAUUAUCAGAAAAGGGCCUAUCACAACAAAUCAUUGUUCUUAUUUAAAAAUAGAUCUUUGGAGUUUUACAUCUUAUAACUAUUCAGUCUCCUAACUGACAAAAUGACAGUUUUCAGGUGGACAUUAAAAUUUAACAUAAUAAAGUGCUAUCAUAUGCUCUGAUCUUUAAAAUACUGAUAAUUAGAAGCAUGAUGUUCUUAAUGAAGUUGGAAUGCAAUCUUUUAAAUGUACAAACAAAACAAAAGUUGUUUGAUGCACAAGAGUCUAUCUCAGUUUUAAAUGUUUAUUUUUUUUCCUCUACAUUUAAAAAAUGUUAGGAUUACAUUUCAGAAACUUUGAGUAACUGGUCCAAGAUUACACAACAAGUGAGAGAUCUAGGAUUCAAGAUGAAGAACUCCUGGGUCUAAGAAGCCCAGAAUGCUUCCUUAUCCUACCCUGUCUCUCAGCUCCUUAGCUGGGGAUUUGUAGCACAUGUGUUACAAACACUUCUUGCCUCUUGCCCAAAACACAGUACAAAUCCAAAGUGUGCCUUAUAUCACUCAUUCAUGCAGCCACUAACUACAUUAUUGAUUUUUUUGACUCAAAAGACAUGCAACUAUUAAUGUUCAUCUACCAAUUAUAAUCAAAGAAAGAAAUGUCAGGAAGGAUAGAGAAGAUAUGCCUUUGGUACCCAUGCAAAAUAAAUAUGCAAGGAGAUUUCCUGGAACUCACUGACACAUUAAUAGUUAUGUUGGAUGUGUGGAGAGAUUACUGGAACGACUCCCUGCUGCUCCUAGCUAACCUUUGAACAAUUGCUGGCAUUCUGACACGGGAAGAAUGAAGCUGGAGAUACUGGCUGCUGAUCUUUCUGGCUAUCCUAAUCAGUCUGAUACCAUUAGAAAUAAGAACAAAUACAUUGAUAAUUUAAUGCAUAAUAUGAAUUUAAACUAGGGCUUAAUACUUUAAAAAAUUUUGUUUUUUGUAUCAUUUCAGAUGAUAUUAAAAUGAAAGCAUCACAUCAACCCAAACCUUUGAACCAGAAAUGGCCAUCAAUAUUAUGAGGCAAAUAUUAUUUGAGGCGUAUAUGUAUGCAGAUAAGUAGACAGGAAGACAGAUAAAGCCAUUUUGAUUGGUGUGUGGUUUGGCAGUUACAUGAAUAUUUAUUGCAGCUUUAUUUGUAAGAGCC